rnacentral:rRNA from 1 species
GUAGUGACAUGCGGAGGGAUCAUUAG